UCAUGUGACCCUCAGGGAAAUCUGAGAAACCAGCUACUGGCGAUAAAGGUGUAUUGCCUGCAUGACGGCCUGCUCCAGAGGGAUUGAUUUCUGCAAGGAAAACCGGUACUCCGAAGACAGGGCCGGUUUUAGACAAAAUGUGGCCCUGGGCAAAAUCAAAAGUCGGGCCCCAAAUCUUAUAAUAAUGAGCUAACAACACAGUCACAUCCCGUCGAUUCCGUAAAUGAAAGCAAAUAUGUGAAUAUCUGUGUUCCCGGCCUCCACUCUCCAGAGAAAAGAAAUGGCUGAAAAAUUGUGAUCUGGUCUGAAGAAAGAGAACAUCUACAUC